rnacentral:rRNA from 1 species
GAUGAACGCUGGCGGCGUGCCUAAUACAUGCAAGUCGAGCGAACAGACGAGGAGCUUGCUCCUCUGACGUUAGCGGCGGACGGGUGAGUAACACGUGGAUAACCUACCUAUAAGACUGGGAUAACUUCGGGAAACCGGAGCUAAUACCGGAUAAUAUAUUGAACCGCAUGGUUCAAUAGUGAAAGACGGUUUUGCUGUCACUUAUAGAUGGAUCCGCGCCGCAUUAGCUAGUUGGUAAGGUAACGGCCUACCAAGGCAACGAUGCGUAGCCGACCUGAGAGGGUGAUAGGCCACACGGGAACUGAGACACGGUCCAGACUCCUACGGGAGGCAGCAGUAGGGAAUCUGCCGCAAAGGGCGAAAGCCUGACGGAGCAACGCCGCGUGAGUGAUGAAGGUCUUCGGAUCGUAAAACUCUGUUAUUAGGGAAGAACAAAUGUGUAAGUAACUAUGCACGUCUUGACGGUACCUAAUCAGAAAGCCACGGCUAACUACGUG